rnacentral:lncRNA from 1 species
GUCGUGGUGCCAAAACCCCCCAGCGAAAAAAUGGCCAAAAAACGGGUGGGCUAAUACCUUGGUGGGGGGCGCGGGCGAAGUUCGUCCGCCGGACUCGAAAUGGGGCGAGACUUUGCGAGGGGCCUAGGGGCACCAAAAAUAAGCCGCGGGCAAAGCCGCGCCCAAAAAUAAGCGCCCGAAGGUCGUGGUGCCAAAACCCCCCAGCGGAAAAAUCGCCAAAAAACGGGUGGGCUAUAGACUUGGUGGGGGGCGCGGGCGAAGUUCGUCCGCCGGACUCGAAAUGGGGCGAGACUUUGCGAGGGGCCUAGGGGCACCAAAAAUAAGCCGCGGGCAAAGCCGCGCCCAAAAAUAAGCGCCCGAAGGUCGUGGUGCCAAAACCCCCCAGCGGAAAAAUGGCCAAAAAACGGGUGGGCUAUAGCCUUGGUGGGGGGCGCGGGCGAAGUUCGUCCGCCGGACUCGGAAUGGGGCGAGUCUUUGCGCGGGGCCUCGGGGCGCCAAAAAUAAGCCGCGGGCAAAGCCGCGCCAAAAAUAAGCGCCCGAAGGUCGUGGUGCCAAAACCCCCCAGCGGAAAAAUGGACAAAAAACGGGUGGGCUAUAGCCUUGGUGGGGGGCGCGGGCGAAGUUCGUCCGCCGGACUCGGAAUGGGGCGAGACUUUGCGAGGGUCCUCGGGGUGCCCGCGGGAAGUCGCGGGCACAGCCGCGUCCAAAAAUAAGCGCCCGAAGGUCGUGGUGCCAAAACCCCCCCGCGGAAAAAUGGCCAAAAAACGGGUGGGCUAUAGCCUUGGUGGGGGGCGCGGGCGAAGUUCGUCCGCCGGACUCGGAAUGGGGCGAGACUUUGCGCGGGGCCUCGGGGCGCCAAAAAUAAGCCACGGGCAAAGCCGCACCCAAAAAUAAGCGCCCGAAGGUCGUGGUGCCAAAACCCCCCAGCGGAAAAAUGGCCAAAAAACGGGUGGGCUAUAGCCUUGGUGGGGGGCGCGGGCGAAGUUCGUCUGCCAGACUCGGAAUGGGGCGAGACUUUGCGAGGGGCCUCGGGGUGUCAAAAAUAAGCCGCGGGCUAAGCCGCGCCCAAAAAUAAGCACCCGAAGGUCGUGGUGCCAAAACCCCCCAGCGGAAAAAUGGCCAAAAAACGGGUGGGCUAUAGCCUUGGUGGGGGGCGCGGGCGAAGUUCGUCCGCCGGACUCGGAAUGGGGCGAGACUUUGCGAGGGGCCUCGGGGUGCCAAAAAUAAGCCGCAGGCAAAGCCGCGCCCAAAAAUAACCGCCCGAAGGUCGUGGUGCCAAAACCCCCCAGCGGAAAAAUGGCCAAAAAACGGGUGGGCUAUAGCCUUGGUAGGGGGCGCGGGCGAAGUUCGUCCGCCGGACUCGGAAUAGGGCGAGACUUUGCGCAGGGCCUCGGGGAGCCAAAAAUAAGCCGCGGGCAAAGCCGCGCCCAAAAAUAAGCGCCCGAAGGUCGUGGUGCCAAAACCCCCCAGCGGAAAAAUGGCCAAAAAACGGGUGGGCUAUAGCCUUGGUGGGGGGCGCGGGCGAAGUUCGUCCGCCGGACUCGGAAUGGGGCGAGACUUUGCGAGGGGCCUCGGGGUGCCCGUGGGAAGUCGCGGGCACAGCCGCGUCCAAAAAUAAGCGCCCGAAGGUCGUGGUGCCAAAACCCCCCCGCGGAAAAAUGGCCAAAAAACGGGUGGGCUAUAGCCUUGGUGGGGGGCGCGGGCGAAGUUCGUCCGCCGGACUCGGAAUGGGGCGAGACUUUGCGCGGGGCCUCGGGGCGCCAAAAAUAAGCCACGGGCAAAGCCGCACCCAAAAAUAAGCGCCCGAAGGUCGUGGUGCCAAAACCCCCCAGCGGAAAAAUGGCCAAAAAACGGGUGGGCUAUAGCCUUGGUGGGGGGCGCGGGCGAAGUUCGUCCGCCAGACUCGGAAUGGGGCGAGACUUUGCGAGGGGCCUUGGAGCACCAAAAAUAAGCCGCGGGCAAAGCCGCGCCCAGAAAUAAGCGCUGAAGGUCGUGGUGCCAAAACCCCCCAGCGGAAAAAUGGCCAAAAAACCGGGUGGGCUAUAGCUUGGUGGGGGGCGCGGGCGAAGUUCGUCCGCCAGACUCGGAAUGGGGCGAGACUUUGCGCGGGGCCUCGGGGCGCCAAAAAUAAGCCGCGGGCAAAGCCGCGCCCAAAAAUAAGCGCCCGAAGGUCGUGGUGCCAAAACCCCCCAGCGGACAAAUGGCCAAAAAACGGGUGGGCUAUAGCCUUCGUGGUGGGCGCGGGCGAAGUUCGUCCGCCUGACUCGGAAUGGGGCGAGACUUUGCGAGGGGCCUCGGGGCACCAAAAAUAAGCCGCGGGCAAAGCCGCGCCCAAAAAUAAGCACCCGAAGGUCGUGGUGCCAAAACCCCCCAGCGGAAAAAUGGCCAAAAAACGGGUGGGCUAUAGCCUUGGUGGGGGGCGCGGGCGAAGUUCGUCCGCCGGACUCGGAAUGGGGCGAGACUUUGCGCGGGGCCUCGGGGCGCCAAAAAUAAGCCGCGGGCAAAGCCGCGCCAAAAAAUAAGCGCCCGAAGGUCGUGGUGCCAAAACCCCCCAGCGGAAAAAUGGACAAAAAACGGGUGGGCUAUAGCCUUGGUGGGGGGCGCGGGCGAAGUUCGUCCGCCGGACUCGGAAUGGGGCGAGACUUUGCGAGGGUCCUCGGGGUGCCCGCGGGAAGUCGCGGGCACAGCCGCGUCCAAAAAUAAGCGCCCGAAGGUCGUGGUGCCAAAACCCCCCCGCGGAAAAAAGGCCAAAAAACGGAAGGGCUAUAGCCUUGGUGGGGGGCGCGGGCGAAGUUCGUCCGCCGGACUCGGAAUGGGGCGAGACUUUGCGCGGGGCCUCGGGGCGCCAAAAAUAAGCCACGGGCAAAGCCGCACCCAAAAAUAAGCGCCCGAAGGUCGUGGUGCCAAAACCCCCCAGCGGAAAAAUGGCCAAAAAACGGGUGGGCUAUAGCCUUGGUGGGGGGCGCGGGCGAAGUUCGUCUGCCAGACUCGGAAUGGGGCGAGACUUUGCGAGGGGCCUCGGGGUGCCAAAAAUAAGCCUCGGGCAAAGCCGCGCCCAAAAAUAAGCACCCGAAGGUCGUGGUGCCAAAACCCCCCAGCGGAAAAAUGGCCAAAAAACGGGUGGGCUAUAGCCUUGGUGGGGGGCGCGGGCGAAGUUCGUCCGCCGGACUCGAAAUGGGGCGAGACUUUGCGAGGGGCCUAGGGGAACCAAAAAUAAGCCGCGGGCAAAGCCGCGCCCAAAAAUAAGCGCCCGAAGGUCGUGGUGCCAAAACCCCCCAGCGGAAAAAUGGCCAAAAAACGGGUGGGCUAUAGACUUGGUGGGGGGCGCGGGCGAAGUUCGUCCGCCGGACUCGAAAUGGGGCGAGACUUUGCGAGGGGCCUAGGGGCACCAAAAAUAAGCCGCGGGCAAAGCCGCGCCCAAAAAUAAGCGCCCGAAGGUCGUGGUUCCAAAACCCCCCAGCGGAAAAAUGGCCAAAAAACGGGUGGGCUAUAGCCUUGGUGGGGGGCGC